rnacentral:rRNA from 1 species
GACGAACGCUGGCGGCGUGCCUAACACAUGCAAGUCGAACGGGGUGAUCCUUUCGGGGAUCACUUAGUGGCGAACGGGUGAGUAACGCGUGAGAAACCUGCCUUUCAGUGGGGGACAACAGUUGGAAACGACUGCUAAUACCGCAUAAUGUCAUUUGGGGGCAUCCCCGAGUGACCAAAGCUUUAUGUGCUGAAAGAUGGUCUCGCGUCUGAUUAGCUAGAUGGCGGGGUAACGGCCCACCAUGGCGACGAUCAGUAGCCGGUCUGAGAGGAUGAACGGCCACAUUGGGACUGAGAUACGGCCCAGACUCCUACGGGAGGCAGCAGUGGGGAAUAUUGGGCAAUGGGGGAAACCCUGACCCAGCAACGCCGCGUGAAGGAAGAAAGGCCCUCGGGUUGUAAACUUCUUUUACCAGGGACGAAGAACGUGACGGUACCUGGAGAAAAAGCAACGGCUAACUACGUG